GCCCCCGUAGCUCAGUUGGAUAGAGCAUCCGCCUUCUAAGCGGGUGGUCGUGGGUUCGAGUCCCGCCGGGGGCGCCA
rnacentral:tRNA from 1 species